AUCGCUUCUCGGCCUUUUGGCUAAGAUCAAGUGUAGAUUCUUUUUCAGUUAGUGUUCCAAAUUUUAUCAAUUUUUAUGAAUUUGCAUUUUAU
rnacentral:snRNA from 1 species